UCAUUCUCCUGUUCAGUUCAACGUGUUACUCCUACACGCACACACGCACACACGCACACGCACACUACACGUACACACACGCACAUCAUUGAUUGUAGCCGUACACAUAACAACUCCUGAGUGAAGUACGUACGUGCGUGACACGAAUACGUACACACACACACACACACACACACACACACACACACACACACACACACCACACACACACACACACAUAUACAUACAUACAUACAUACACACGCACAUUAUAUUAUAAUUGAUUCUUCCAGUGUACAUUCAACUUUCAUAUCGUGUGCACGUGUGGCAGCUUCUUACGUGCACACACACACACACACACACACACACACACACACACACUGAAGGACCCUCCUCCCUGGGUAUCCUAAAGAAGAGGAAAAGGGCGUAGGAUUCCUGAAGGUGUGGUGACAGCGUCGCCACCCCUGCCAACAAGGUGGGGGUCGCCGCGCCCCGCUCAGGUCUCCGGCGAGUGUCCUGCGGGCCGCCGUCGCCGCCCAUGGCCCGACGUGGCGCCACGCUGGGGACGGGAGCGCGGGAGGGACGCCGCGCCCACCCGCACUGCCACACGCCACCUGGUUGUGCCGGGCUGGGGUGGGGCUGGGCGGGACCCAGGGGCGUGUUGGGUGGCGAGACGGUGACGGGCCAGGGCAGGGCAGAGCGGGACAGGGCGGAUGGGGCGGGGCACAGGUGGGAAGUGGAGAGGCAUGGGCGAGGGGCGGGGGCGGCAGGGCAGCAGGGCGGAGGGGCGGGAGCGUGGGAGUGAGUGUCCCUUUUUGGAGGACACUACCGGAAGCCCCACUUCCUUAUGAGCCAGCCCCGCGUCCCGCCCCGAGCAUCCCAUCCCGCCCCGCCCCGAGCCACGCACUCACGCCCACCCCAGCACAACCAGCCCAGCACGCCCAGCCCUCACGCCCACCACGAUGCCGGGCGGCGCGACACAGGUGGAGCGGUGCCCGGGACGCCCAUGAGCAAUAGCAUUAAAGCUGAACCAUUGCAAACUUAAAAUUCCAA